GACGAACGCUGGCGGCGUGCCUAACACAUGCAAGUCAACUUGACUGAAGGAGCAAUCUGACAGUAGAGUGGCGCAAGGGUGCGUAACGCGUAAGUAACUUGCCCAAGGUAAGGAAUAACGUCGAGAAAUCGGCGCUAAUACCUCAUAAUGCAGCGGAUCCGCAUGGAUAUGUUGUUAAAGGUUUACCGCCUUGGGAUAGGCUUGCGUCUGAUUAGCUAGUUGGUGUGGUAACGGCACACCAAGGCUACGAUCAGUAACUGGUCUGAGAGGAUGAUCAGCCACACUGGAACUGAGACACGGUCCAGACUCCUACGGGAGGCAGCAGUGAGGAAUAUUGGGCAAUGCUCGAAAGAGUGACCCAGCAACGCCGCGUGGAGGAUGAAGGUAUUCUAUAUCGUAAACUCCUGUGAGAGCAGACGAAAGACAGAUUAUAAUCUGGAUGACUGUAUGCUCAGAGGAAG
rnacentral:rRNA from 1 species